GCUUUUAGUGGUGAGCUUCUAUGGCGUCUACAGGAUCUAAACAAUGUUGAUGCCGCUUGAAAGACUUUGACACGAGGAUUUGCUCCAACUGCACACAGUUCAUGUCAACUUGAAUGAGCAACAUGGAAUUCCUCUUUGACAACUCCUCAAGACAUGAUUUUACUUGUAUUGUUAAAACUUUAAUCACACUUUAAAUAUUAGUUAUAUUGAAAUCCUGUCUUUUUUGGGAAGGUUAUGUGCAGCAAUUUUAAAAUUUUUGUAAGACAAUGUCAUGGCAAAAAUAAACCUUAAAAAAAG